GCUCCCUGAUUCAGCGGCGGACGGGUGAGUAAUGCCUAGGAAUCUGCCUGGUAGUGGGGGACAACGUCUCGAAAGGGACGCUAAUACCGCAUACGUCCUACGGGAGAAAGCAGGGGACCUUCGGGCCUUGCGCUAUCAGAUGAGCCUAGGUCGGAUUAGCUUGUUGGUGAGGUAAUGGCUCACCAAGGCUGCGAUCCGUAACUGGUCUGAGAGGAUGAUCAGUCACACUGGAACUGAGACACGGUCCAGACUCCUACGGGAGGCAGCAGUGGGGAAUAUUGGACAAUGGGCGAAAGCCUGAUCCAGCCAUGCCGCGUGUGUGAAGAAGGUCUUCGGAUUGUAAAGCACUUUAAGUUGGGAGGAAGGGCAUUAACCUAAUACGUUAGUGUUUUGACGUUACCGACAGAAUAAGCACCGGCUAACUUCGUGCCAGCAGCCGCGGUAAUACGAAGGGUGCAAGCGUUAAUCGGAAUUACUGGGCGUAAAGCGCGCGUAGGUGGUUUGUUAAGUUGGAAGUGAAAGCCCCGGGCUCAACCUGGGAACUGCUUUCAAAACUGGCAAGCUAGAGUAUGGCAGAGGGUGGUGGAAUUUCCUGUGUAGCGGUGAAAUGCGUAGAUAUAGGAAGGAACACCAGUGGCGAAGGCGACCACCUGGGCUAAUACUGACACUGAGGUGCGAAAGC
rnacentral:rRNA from 2 species